CAAAUGAGGGGUAACUAUUUCGUCAAUAGUAAAGUUUGAAACAUGAUAUGUUGUACUUGUUCUAUACUAGAUUGAACAUCUUCAAUAUUUAUUACUUACUUUCCUUUCUAUCCGGACAAUGCACAUGCAUCGUCCGGUUUUUA
rnacentral:sRNA from 1 species